CCUACGGGAGGCAGCAGUGGGGAAUAUUGCACAAUGGGCGAAAGCCUGAUGCAGCAACGCCGCGUGAGCGAUGAAGGCCUUCGGGUCGUAAAGCUCUGUCAGCAGGGAAGAAAAUGACGGUACCUGAAGAAGAAGCCCCGGCUAACUACGUGACAGCAGCCGCGGUAAUAAGUAGGGGGCAAGCGUUAGCCGGAUUUACUGGGUGUAAAGGGGGCGCAGACGGCGAUGCAAGCCAGGAGUGAAAGCACGGGGCGCAACCCCGGGACUGCUGUUGAAAAUGCGUGGCUGGAGUGCAGGAGGGGCAGGCGGAAUUCCUGGUGUAGCGGUGAAAUGCGUAGAUAUCAGGAGGAACACCGGUGGCGAAGGCGGCCUGCUGGACUGCAACUGACGUUGAGGCGCGAAAGCGUGGGGAGCAAACAGGAUUAGAUACCCGGGUAGUC
rnacentral:rRNA from 1 species